rnacentral:rRNA from 1 species
UGCCAGCAGCCGCGGUAAUACGUAUGUCCCUAGCGUUACCCGGAAUUACUGGGUGUAAAGGGUUCGUAGGCGGGGAUAUAAGUCAGAUAUGAAAGACCGGAGCUCAACUCCGUGUUUGUGUUUGAAACUGUAUUUCUAGAAUAAGGGAGAGGUAAGCGGAAUUCUAAGUGUAGGGGUGCAAUCCGUAGAUACUUAGAGGAACACCAAAAGCGAAGGCAGCUUACUGGAACUUUAUUGACGCUCAUGAACGAAAGCGUGGGGAGCGAAAAGGAUUAGAUA